GUAUUGUUGGCAUAAUAUUUACUGACACGGUCAUGCGUCUAACUGUUUACGUUCCCAUUCACGUUGUCAUCCGGAAUUUUUAGUGUGCCGUUCGAGCAUCAACACAGUGCCAUGACUAUCUACAUGUAAGCAGACUGUUAAAUGUCUUAAUUUCCCUGUCCCGUCUCCAUCGAGUUACAGUAAUGUCUACUUGUAAGGAUUGUAAAACACACAACAUCAUCCAUAGUUAGCUCAAUGGUAAAGAAGUACACGAAAAGUAGCCAGGAAUGCAGGCACAUUUAGCGUUACGCAUACAGGCAAUCUUGAAAGACCCACUGUCACUACGUCUUUGUAAUAGUACUUGAUUCCCUGGGAAGUCCAACCUGUAUAUUUGGCAAGGGGAUUUUUCUGACUAACUGCUCAUGUGUCCUGUCGUGGUUGGUCCAAGCCGAUCAGGUGAGACAUUCCAUCCAAUAAGAUACACCGUACGGUAUAUCAGGGUGGCCACACACCCAAAGUUUUUGUCCCCCAUAGACAGGACAGCCGAGAAGGUCGACCUGGACUGAUUCUACGGUACUCUUGCAUCCCAUCCCAGUCUGCUAGAGCCUUGGUUACGUACAGUUCUGCCGUUUGCUGACAACAAUCAAGUCUGUUUUGUACCUGUCCCACCCGACACGUCACAUACCCGAUACAAUCCAACAGAACAGCUCCAAUGGAUAAUACCGUCACAGAAAAGCAACUGGACUACGUGGCUGAGCAUGUUUCCCCACGCCAGUCGAGGCGCCUGCUGCGUGAACUGGGCCUCAAGGACCCCACCAUCGACCAGGUAUUCGACGACUGCAAGCACGAGGGGAGUCGCGAAAGGCUCUACCAAGGUCUGCGCAAAUGUAAGGAACACAAAGGGAGUGGUUUUACUGUAUGUGAACUUGUAAAAGCCCUUGAGAGCAUCGGUAGGUCAGAUCUGAUUGAAAAUCUAACAGCCGAGAGAAGCCCGAUGGUCAUUUUGUUCUUGCCGUCAGGGUUGACCGAAAGUUUCGUUGGAAGUGAUUCAAAGUUGAUCCAGUCCGUGAUUGAAGAAAUAAAGAGAAACAAAAAGGAUGGAGGUCAAACUCAGCAACCUCUUGGUUUUGUAAAGCAGAUCGGUACAGAUGAAACCUUGAAAUAACAAAGGUGACCCCUAUCCACCAUGAUAUCCGACACGACAGCUCUACCUUCCACUUGGGGACCAGUUCUUUAGGUGGAAGGUAUCGUCAAUGGUUAACAGUAUUCAUAUGAACACGAACUGGAUCGGUUUUGCAUUUAAAGGUAUCUGUACUUGUUCCCAGUUAUCACAACGGCCAAUUCAGCACAUCAACACACUCAAGCUUUCUUUGUAUAUGCCAUUACCAACACUAUGACACCUGUCACCAAUGUGUCAGGUCAGGUACUCGGCACAAAAAGUUCAGACACAUCUUGCUAUCCACCCUCGCUCGCAAAAUUGGCCCCUGUUUUGCCUAACAAAUACAUGGUAAUGGCAAAGGGUAAGGGACACGCAAUAUUGAUAUGCUAAGAAAUAACUGAAAGAUGAUCGACCCAAUUGAACUUUUUGUGCCGAGUAUAUUUUUGAAAGAGCUAACGUCCCCUCGAAUCUGCCAUGUAUGAUGCCAUUACAUCACAAGGGUCUUUGUGUCAAAGCUCACAUGAUGAAACAAAGCUCAAAGUUAUCCUGUGGGUUUGGUAAUCUUCCUGGCAAAGGCGAUUGGGAGAGCUAGUUCUUUCUGACCUUUCUAUAGGUCAUUAUCAAAGACGGCUGCAUGCUGACGCAUAUGUGUACAUAUGUGCGCUGCAAAAGUUGAAUUUCAGUCCUCUAGAAACGAGGCUACCCUAUUGAGAUUUGUAGAUUGACAAAGGUUACUGGACAUGAGAGCCAACCUGGUGUUCAUGUUUUUCAAUCCUCUUCUGAGUAGGGCAUCCUUCUUCAAAGGACGCCGGCUGCAAACUGACACACAUGCUUCCAAAAAGGGAACACGUGCUUAUGUUGUAGCUUAAAUAAACAUUAGUCCUGUAGAGAAAGGUAACGACUGACUUUUCAGUGCUACCCUAGCUCUCAGGACGGCUGCAAACCUGACCACUUCGGUACGGCUAGCAGUAAAAACUUGUACCUGUACCUUGUACCUUCGAAAGUCAUUUCGGGUGUUGCAUGUCACUAUGUUCUGUUGUAUAAGACAUAUAUAGUGACAGGUUACUCAAAACUGAAUUGAUGGCUUUUGUUUCGAAGUUCACGAACGGAGGUUCAAGGUGUCAAAACCCAAAAGGAGAACGUUCCUUGGAAUACCUUAACCAUUGAUAGUUCACGCCUGUUGUGACAGGUGGAUAUCAUUGUGGAUAGGAUAAGGGAGCGGCAGCGGGGUAUCAUAAUUCCAUUUUUUGUUCGACAUACAUGUCUAUAUGACAGAUCUCUGGCCUGUUACAAUACAAAGGCUUUCACCUCAGAUAUCUGAAGUUCUGAACAGGAGCUGGAUUCAACUGACACAUUUUGAGACAAGCAUACUCCGUGAUGCAUGCCUGAAAUGUAAACGUUUUCAAGAAAUCUAUAACUGAUCAGAAUAAUGUUGAAGCUUGUACUGGACCAAGAGAUCUGUUGUUGCGGGAAUUUGGAGUCAUGAUACACGAAGCUGUCUCCU